rnacentral:lncRNA from 1 species
GCCUAUGUCCUGCUUGUGCUUCAUUGAUGAAGAUCUCUAUUACAAGGGUGCGGAAUCGCUACCCUUUGUAAAAAAUUGGGAAUAAUAACUUGUCUGGCGUUGAGUCGGCCUUCAAUGCUUUGGCUUGAUGAAAAUUUUGGGAAUAAGGAAACCAUAUAAUGUUGGCCCGCCAGGUGAUGUUGUGCCGGCUUUCAAUGCUUCAGCUCCACUUAAAAUUAAGCUUAAAAUUGAUCGCUUGAGGAUGCUCUUCCUCUUUUUUUUUAUAUAUCCAUAUUACCUGUAGCCCCAAGCUCUGAGUUUAUCAGUUCAUGAUGACUUGGUGCUUUCCUUUAAAAUAAUAUCUUGACCAUGUAGCCCUCAAGUGCCAGGUUGUCUUGCCCGCAACAGCCUGGGACUUUGAACUUUAGCUUUGAAUGUUGUAGCUGGCUUUGAGAAAUCCAGGUUGUCCAUCUGAAUCACCAGCUAUAAGUUUUUUUUUUGCUUUUUACAUGUGUAGCCCCCAAGGGCCGGCUCAUUAAUAUGUGAUGGGCCGGGUCUUCAAUUUGGACCUCAUAAUCUGUUAAACAAUUGAGUACUGUAGCCCCCAAGUGUCAGGUCACAUGCCUGCAGGGACUUGGGACUUUAGAAAAUUUUGAUCUAAGUACCGUAGCCCCCAAGUGCAACGGUCGUUUGCCUGCAGCGGUUCGGGACUUAUAUGUACUCC